rnacentral:rRNA from 1 species
AUUGAACGCUGGCGGAAUGCUUUACACAUGCAAGUCGAGCGGCAGCGCAGGGCAACCUGGCGGCGAGCGGCGAACGGGUGAGUAAUACAUCGGAACGUACCCUGUCGUGGGGGAUAACGAGUCGAAAGAUUCGCUAAUACCGCAUACGACCUGAGGGUGAAAGCGGGGGAUCGCAAGACCUCGCGCGACAGGAGUGGCCAAUGGCGGAUUAGCUAGUUGGUGAGGUAAAGGCUCACCAAGGCCACGAUCCGUAGCGGGUCUGAGAGGACGACCCGCCAAACUGGAACAGAGACACGGUCCAGACUCCUACGGGAGGCAGCAGUGGGGAAUUUUGGACAAUGGGGGCAACCCUGAUCCAGCCAUUCCGCGUGGGUGAAGAAGGCCUUCGGGUUGUAAAGCUCUUUCGGCAGGAACGAAACGGUGGUCCCUAAUAUGGACUGCUGAUGACGGUACCUGAAGAAGAAGCACCGGCUAACUACGUGCCAGCCGCCGCCGUAA